UUGCUCAGAGAGGCUUUUUCCUCGCAGUGCUGCAUGAACACUGGCCAGCAAUGAGACCUCGCAGGCAGGUCAAUGCUAGUACCUUCUAUUUUCAGAGACCAGAGUCACAAAGGGAACAGCAGACAGUGACUUAGGAAGGCAGUGGCUGAAGGAAACCACAACCUCAGGAUCCUCUGGCACUGAACAAUUUAGACGUGCACUCAUGCACAUGUGUGUCUCUUAAUCCCACAGUCCCAGCCCUGGACCUGCCUGCUCCUUUCUUCCCAUCCCCUCUUCCACUUCUCUGCCUUCAGCCUCUUCCCUGCUGCCAGUCGGCUGUCCCUGCGUUCGUCAGAGCUGUUGCAGCAGCAGGGUGCCGCGUGCCAGGAAAGAUUACUCUUGACUGGUUGCCAAGUCUCUUGCUUUUGCUCUGGCACGCAGAUAAAAUGUUAAUAGGGCCGAAUGCAUUCGACACAAAGGGUGAAACUGUGUGUUCCAGGCACAGAGCCUUUGCCAUCCAUUUAGCAUCAGCUAAACUGGAUCCUUCCAGUUCAUUUUUGCUUGCUAAAGAGGAGCUGACCAGGGAUUUUCAGGCUUGACAGAACCUGGACAGGGAUAUAAGCAUCUUGUGACAAGCAGCUUAAGCAACACCUUCUUCUUUCUGAUAGGUACACAAAGACAACAUUUCUUUCCCUGAGGAUGAGUCUGGAAUUCUUCUUUUUGCUGGAAGAUUGUGACGUCGGAGUGGGAAGAUCUCAGUGAGAGCACUACGCAGUAGGUUAAAAUGUGGUCUGAGUUCAGCCCUGAUCGUGGCCGCAAGCAAUGAGCCUUCCCAGCAGGAUGAGCAUUGGCUGAGGUCAGCCCAGGGCAGGAGGAGAUGCCCGUGUUCACCGUUCUUCACAGCACAGCUUGGGGCAUGAGAUCAGAGCUAUACGAUAUGGGUAUACGUACCUUCCUGUGUGGUACGUCCCAGUGUAGCAAAUCUGCCAAGGCUCCAAAUAAUGGCUCCAACUGCAAGCUGUCAGGCUCCCGAGCAGACGUCCUUGUCAACCACACCUGCGGUGGAUUGAAUCUGGUGAGCUGGGCUGCGUACCUCGGUCAGGAGCUGCAGCCAAGCAGUGUGCCAGCUGGGGGACAGUGAGGCACCUGUAUACCAAAGGUAGGGAAGUGCGUGACUGAACUGUUUUACGUUGCAAACGUGAUUUUCCAUAUGUCAGUGAACCGAGUGCGAGUCCACCGCAGACUGGUCGUUUGAAGAACAGAACAGCCAAAAUACGAGAGUGUCCCUGGGUCACCCAAGUCUGCCUACAGUUCAUGCAGGAUGGAACAGGAGGAGAAAGAAAUGUUUUGACUCUGGAUGUUGAUACUGCAUUGUGAUUUUUUUGUUUGCCUUUUUUUUUUUUUUUAAUUGUAGGUCAGAAAGUCACAUUAGAGCUGUGCUGGGGAAUAGUACUUUGCACAAGGUCAUGAUGUAGAUGAGAGAACAACUGACCCAAACAGUUUGUCUCCAGUCUAGCCAGCUGGCCAGGGCACGUCAGCCUAUCUGAAACUCAGCUCACACCCUCAUAAAACAAAUGGGCAAACUCCAGCACCAGCAUAAACUGACCUUUCCAUAAACCUGCUGUGCUGCUUUACAGCAGUUGAGCCUCUAGCCCGAUCUUUUUUAAAUGCCACUGUUUGCCAACCUUGCAUUCUUCCUGCAAACCAACGCAGUGUGUUAAGAGAGGAGGAUAAUUAGGGAGACCACAGUAAUUAAUACGGCAGAUAAUAACCCAGAGGUGUAAUUUAGCUGCCUGACUUGCACUGAAUUCCCUGGGCUGGAGCAGGAGUGGAGGAGGAAAAGGCACCUGCUGAAGCCUUUCAUAGCAGCUUUAGUUCUCAGCAGGAGGCAAUCACACAUCGAGCAAACAGAGGCCCCCGAGGUCUCUCCUGAGCUGCUAAUGAUUGCCUUGCAGACAGUGAUGGCAUGUCAGUAUUGAUUAUUUUCCUAUUAUAAACUCCUUUCUCUUGUCCCUUUUUGCCAUGAUCUGUUGGGUAAACACAAGAAAUAAGUGAGAAGAGCUGAGGUUUGGGGUUAUGAAGUGUCUGGAGGACGGGAAGCACUGAUUCAGCUGGCAGUUAGUUCUUUUUCUAAGCAAGUGGCUACAGCUGAAAGAAAGUACAAAGGGACGUGGUGACAUAUAGAUAAAAAACAUUCUUCAGGUCUGUGCGGGCUUUUCUACACUGACAGUAUAAGGGGCAUUUAACACUGGCUGCCGUCCUCAGUGCAGCUGCAAAUGGCAAAACAUCUCCCAUCACUUAGCCCAGAGCCAGCAUUAAUUUGGUGCUGUGUGAGGUGCUUCUGUUCCAUCCAGUUUUUGCCCCAGUUCUAGUUAGACUGCAGUGCAUUUACUUCUAAGGUUGCUUAGGCAGUGCAGUCGUUGAUAUGGUCCUGUGCCUAGGGUUUUGUUAAAGCAAGCAGCUAUUGAAAACCUACAGGAUUGUUUUUUCCUACUCCAGAUGCUCUUGGGAUCUUGGGGGAACUGUCGUGCUUCUGCUCACAACAUGUGCCAAUGUAAGGUCAUGCUUUUUAAAUUUUAUUUUCUUUUAAAGUGGUAUUUGGGCUGUCAUUUCCUAAAACUUGUCCCCUGCAUGAUAAAUGAACAUGUUUUAUUCAGGACGUUGGAGUGCACUUGAGAGACCUGAGCAGUUCUACUGACCUUCUCAGUGAACUUGAACAAGUGUUUUCUCUCCCUGGGUCUGUUCCUUCCCAGAGGUUUAAAGCCAAAUAAAUGUCACCGAUAACUAUUACUAGCCGUUGAU
ensembl:lncRNA